rnacentral:lncRNA from 1 species
UUUCCUUCUGCGCCACCGCAGAUCAGUUGGCAGCAUAGGCCGAGCUCUCCCAUGUAUCAUCACAUUGAACAAAAUACGCAUCUAUGCUUACUUCCCUUGUAUCAUCACAACGGAUGCUAUAAAUUUUCUUGUGUCCUUGUCAUAAAUCUGAAUCCUGCACAAUAUGAAAAAGAAAGAAAGUCAGAUUUGUUAAUACAGUACAACAUAAUGAUAGUUCCAAGGAAACAGGUACUACGUCGAAACUGGCCAUGAUAGUACGGAUGUCAUGUGGAUGGACGUAUUUGUGCAGGAAUAACCGGGAAGAGUACUCAGAGCUCGAUAACCCACCGGAGAGAUCAGUGCACCCUACUUUAAACGUAGUUUCGUGGUUAUGGCCGAGGCACAUGUCGCCACGGUGGUCGAUGUUGCAGCAGUACCUGAGUCUGACCUCGAACUUCAAAGAACAUGGCGCCAUCGACAACACCCAAGGAUGCAGUGAGAGCACGGAGACCGCUCGGCCAAACGGGUUCAACACCACGUUCAGCAG